rnacentral:rRNA from 1 species
UACAGAGGGUGCAAGCGUUAAUCGGAAUUACUGGGCGUAAAGCGCGCGUAGGUGGUUCGUUAAGUUGGAUGUGAAAUCUCCCGGCUUAACUGGGAGGGUGCGCCGAAGACUGGAAGGCUUGAGUAUGGGAGAGGUAAGCGGAAUUCCUGGUGUAGCGGUGAAAUGCGUAGAUAUCAGGAGGAACACCUGCGGUGUAGACGGCUUACUGGACCAUCACUGACGCUGAGGCACGAAAGCGUGGGGAGCAAACAGG